UUUCUAGAAAUUGAUGCCUUUUCAGAACAACUCCCUUCCAUUGUCAUAUUAUUUUUGUUUCAGCUUAAUCAAUGCUUCAAGAUUUAUCCUAGAACCUAAGUAAAAGACAUUUGAAGACAGGUGUAAGGAUUUGGAGAUGCUGUGGUUAAUGUUGCGAUUUCUUGCUACAAGAAAGACCUAGGUAACAUUUUUGGAAGGUGAUUGAUGAUUCAAGACAUGGUGACACAACAGUCUGUUUGCAUAUAAAAAUCAGGAGGAAGUAGGUGAAACUUAGACAACAAUUUUCUCAUUUAGAAAGAGGGCUUGAAGAAAAAAAGGGUGAUGGUAGUGCUUCUUCUCCCUUCGCCAGCAACUGAAAACACAACCAAUGACAAUAACUAACCUUAUGUAGGGUAUCGGUAAGCUGAUUGUAGAAUCCUGACCUCAUUAUGAGCCAUUACAAAAGAAUAUCUUAACAAAAAAAGAGAUGGCAUCUCCUUCGUGUGAAUUCAUAAUAUUUAUUUUCAACUCAGUUAAACAAAAAAUUUGAUCAAUCGCAUACUACCCACAGCCACAAGAGUCAAAUGGAGAUAAUAAUUUGUUAAAACUCAAAAUUGUAAUUUUUGGAUACAAUACAUGAUAUUUUGUACUUACUUUGUGAACUCCUCUUAACUUGAAAGCAGCAGAAAUGUCGUUCAUUCGCACAGAACACGAUAAAUUAAAAACACAAAGUAACUUCCCAAAGUUCAAUAAAGUCAAUCAAAAGUUUCCACAGUAAAA